rnacentral:rRNA from 1 species
GGGGUACACGAGUGGCGAACGGGUGAGUAACACGUGGGUAAUCUGCCCUGCACUUCGGGAUAAGCCUGGGAAACCGGGUCUAAUACCGGAUAUGAACUCCUGCCGCAUGGUGGGGGUUGGAAAGUUUUUCGGUGCAGGAUGAGCCCGCGGCCUAUCAGCUUGUUGGUGGGGUAAUGGCCUACCAAGGCGACGACGGGUAGCCGGCCUGAGAGGGUGAUCGGCCACACUGGGACUGAGACACGGCCCAGACUCCUACGGGAGGCAGCAGUGGGGAAUAUUGCACAAUGGGCGAAAGCCUGAUGCAGCGACGCCGCGUGGGGGAUGACGGUCUUCGGAUUGUAAACCCCUUUCAGUAGGGACGAAGCGCAAGUGACGGUACCUGCAGAAGAAGCACCGGCUAACUACGUGCCAGCAGCCGCGGUAAUACGUAGGGUGCGAGCGUUGUCCGGAAUUACUGGGCGUAAAGAGCUCGUAGGCGGUUUGUCACGUCGUCUGUGAAAUCCCUCGGCUUAACCGGGGGCGUGCAGGCGAUACGGGCAGACUUGAGUACUACAGGGGAGACUGGAAUUCCUGGUGUAGCGGUGAAAUGCGCAGAUAUCAGGAGGAACACCGGUGGCGAAGGCGGGUCUCUGGGUAGUAACUGACGCUGAGGAGCGAAAGCAUGGGUAGCGAACAGGAUUAGAUACCC